rnacentral:other from 1 species
AAAAUCCUGCGAUGUACGUUUCGAUUCUCCUAUUGUUUUGAACCAAUGGAUUGUUUCUAGGGAGCUCUACAUUGCACGCCAGGCUGACACGCCCUCAAAAGGGGACUUCAAAACGGCGGCUGCGAGCACCCACCUGCGAGAGCGGGUUUGAAACAAGGGAAUCGGACGGCAUAUGCGGGUUUUUU